AAAUUUAGGUUAAAAUAAAAAGGGAGAAAGUUUCUCAUUACGAGUCUUGAGAAAACCCUGCUAGUGAUGUUAAAUUGCUUACAGUAAUCUUUCAAAUACUGUAUAAAUUUACUCCAGUCCUUCUGGAAUACUUGAUCAUGCUGGUUUUGGAUUUUUCCUGACAGCUUCACCAGUUCUGCAAAGUCCAUCAUCUUCCUCUGCCACUCUUCUUUUGUUGGUACUUCUUGUUGUUUCCAUUUUGGGGCUAAGAGAAUUCUUGCCGCUGUUGUUGCAUACAUAAACAGUCUUUUCAUCUUCCUUUGGUCACUCUUCACCCACU